UACGUAGGGUGCGAGCGUUAAUCGGAAUUACUGGGCGUAAAGCGUGCGCAGGCGGUUCGUUAAGUUCGAUGUGAAAGCCCCGGGCUCAGCCCGGGAAGGGCACUAGAAACUGCCGAGCUGAAGUGCCGGAGGGGAGAGUGGAAUUCCUGGUGUAGCGGUGAAAUGCGUAGAUAUCAGGAGGAAUACCGGUGGCGAAAGCGACUCUCUGGACGGCAACUGACGCUGAGGCACGAAAGCGUGGGGAGCAAACAGG
rnacentral:rRNA from 1 species